CGGGUGAGUAAUGCCUGGGAAUAUGCCUUANUGUGGGGGAUAACUAUUGGAAACGAUAGCUAAUACCGCAUAAUGUCUUCGGACCAAAGAGGGGGACCUUCGGGCCUCUCGCGCUAAGAUUAGCCCAGGUGAGAUUAGCUAGUUGGUGAGGUAAGAGCUCACCAAGGCGACGAUCUCUAGCUGGUCUGAGAGGAUGAUCAGCCACACUGGAACUGAGACACGGUCCAGACUCCUACGGGAGGCAGCAGUGGGGAAUAUUGCACAAUGGGCGAAAGCCUGAUGCAGCCAUGCCGCGUGUAUGAAGAAGGCCUUCGGGUUGUAAAGUACUUUCAGUAGGGAGGAAGGUUCAUGCGUUAAUAGCGUAUGGAUUUGACGUUACCUACAGAAGAAGCACCGGCUAACUCCGUGCCAGCAGCCGCGGUAAUACGGAGGGUGCGAGCGUUAAUCGGAAUUACUGGGCGUAAAGCGCAUGCAGGUGGUUCAUUAAGUCAGAUGUGAAAGCCCGGGGCUCAACCUCGGAACCGCAUUUGAAACUGGUGAACUAGAGUGCUGUAGAGGGGGGUAGAAUUUCNGGUGUAGCGGUGAAAUGCGUAGAGAUCUGAAGGAAUACCAGUGGCGAANGCGGCCCCCUGGACAGACACUGACACUCNGAUGCGAAAGCGUGGGGAGCAAACAGGANUAGAUACCCUGGNUAGUCCACGCCGUAAACGAUGUCUACUU
rnacentral:rRNA from 1 species